GAUGAAGAACGCAGCGAAAUGCGAUACUUGGUGUGAAUUGCAGAAUCCCGUGAACCAUCGAGUCUUUGAACGCAAGUUGUGCCCGAAGCCAUUAGGCCGAGGGCACGCCUGCCUGGGCGUCACACGUCGUUGCCCCCCCAUCUACUCCUUCGGGAUUGCGGGGGGCGGAUGAUGGCCUCUCGUGCGCCUCGUCGCGCGGUUGGCCUAAAUGCCAAGUCCUCGGCGACGCACGCCACGACAAUCGGUGGUUGCGAAACCUCGGUUGCCUGUCGUGUGCGGUCGUCGCGCAUCGAGGGCUCGAAAAAAUUGCCGGGCUUCGGCUCGACUUUCAACGCGACCCCAGGUCAGGCGGGGUUACCCGCUGAAUUUAAGCAUAUCAAUAAGCGGAGGA
rnacentral:misc_RNA from 1 species